rnacentral:rRNA from 1 species
GACAGAGGAUGCAAGCGUUAUCCGGAAUGAUUGGGCGUAAAGCGUCUGUAGGUGGCUUUUUAAGUCCGCCGUCAAAUCCCAGGCUCAACCCUGGGACGCCGAUCGAUACUGCCGGACUAGAGUCCGGAAGAGGCGAGUGGGAAUUCCCGGUGUAGCGGUGAAAUGACGCAGAUAUCGGGAGGAACACCAAUGGCGAAGGCAGCUCGCUGGGACGGUACUGACGCUGAGACGCGAAAGCGUGGGAGGCAAACAGGG